rnacentral:rRNA from 1 species
GACGAACGCUGGCGGCGUGCCUAAUACAUGCAAGUAGAACGCUCAGUUUAUACCGUUGCUUGCUUUUCAAUAGCCUGUGAGUUGCGAAUGGGUGGGUAAGGCGUUGGUAACCUGCCUGGUACCGGGGGUUGACACUAAGAAACGUUCGCUAAUACCGCUUAAUAUUUAUUAUUGAAUGUUAAUUGAUUCAAUGGUGUUAUUCAAUCACUACCCGAUGGUCUUGCGUUGUAUUAGCUAGUAGGUGAGGUAACGGCUCACCUAGGCGACGAUACAUAGCCGACCUGAGAGGGUGAUCGGCCACACUGGGACUGAGACACGGCCCAGACUCCUACGGGAGGCAGCAGUAGGGAAUCUUCGGCAAUGGACGAAAGUCUGUCCGAGCAACGCCGCGUGAGUGAAGAAGGUUUUCGGAUCGUAAAACUCUGUUGGUAGAGAAGAACGUGUGUGAGAGUGGAAAGUUCACACAGUGACGGUAACUUACCAGAAAGGGACGGCUAACUACGUG